rnacentral:rRNA from 1 species
CCCUUAGAUGUUCUGGGCCGCACGCGCGCUAAACUGUUCGACGCAGCGAGUCUUAACCUUGACCGAAAGGUUUGGGUAAUCUUCAGCAAAGUCGAACGUGAUGGGGAUCGAUCAUUGCAAUUAUUGAUCGUGAACGAGGAAUUCCUAGUAAGUGCAAGUCAUCAGCUUGCGCUGAUUACGUCCCUGCCCUUUGUACACACCGCCCGUCGCUACUACCGAUUGAAUGGUUUAGUGAGAUCUCUGGAUUGACGCUGGCUAGGGGGCGACCCUUGGCCAGGCUGUCGAGAAACUGCUCAAACUUGAUCAUUUAGAGGAAGUAAAAGUCGUAACA